GUAGGGAAUCUUCCACAAUGGACGAAAGUCUGAUGGAGCAACGCCGCGUGAGUGAAGAAGGUUCUCGGAUCGUAAAACUCUGUUGUGAGGGAAGAACAAGUACCGGAGUAACUGCCGGUACCUUGACGGUACCUCAUUAGAAAGCCACGGCUAACUACGUGCCAGCAGCCGCGGUAAUACGUAGGUGGCAAGCGUUGUCCGGAAUCAUUGGGCGUAAAGCGCGCGCAGGCGGUCCCUUAAGUCUGAUGUGAAAGCCCACGGCUCAACCGUGGAGGGUCAUUGGAAACUGGGGGACUUGAGUGCAGAAGAGGAAAGCGGAAUUCCAAGUGUAGCGGUGAAAUGCGUAGAGAUUUGGAGGAACACCAGUGGCGAAGGCGGCUUUCUGGUCUGUAACUGACGCUGAGGCGCGAAAGCGUGGGGAGCAAACAGGAUUAGAAACCCGGGUAGUCC
rnacentral:rRNA from 1 species